GAACCAACCAGAUUAAGGAAGAAAUAGACCACCAGCAGAACCUCUCAGCAUGUUACCUCCUGGUGUGGUUCUGCUCAUAGCUUUACGCUUGAUAGGUGUUAAAGGUCAGACCCUGACAGAGUCUGAACCAGCUGUUUUAAAAACGGGAGAAUCUCACAAACUGACGUGUGUGUAUUCUGGAAUAUCAGACGAUAAUGCUCAUAUUAGCUGGAUCAGACAGGCUCGUGGGAAGGGACUAGAGUGGAUUGCUCAUAUUUCUGCUCCAAGUGGUAGCAGCAAAUAUUACUCCCAGUCAGUCCAGGGUCGGUUCACCAUCUCCAGAGAUAAUGGCAAGGACCAGGUGUACCUCCAGAUGAACAGCCUGAAGACUGAAGACUCUGCUGUUUAUUAUUGUGCUCGAAAACCACAGUGACACAGGAAGCUGCAGAGCUGUACUAAAACUGAUCAACACUGAUCUCACAUGAGAGAGUAGGAGGUGUCGCAGUACAAAGAAUAUCUCCCACAAGAGAGCUAUGAGAGGAGAAAGUCCCUCCACAUUAUCAUCCCUCUAUGUUUGAGUAUACCACUAAUACAACAGCAACAUUUCUUGUGUCGUAUUUAACUAAACUCAUCAAAUUCAGCCUUGUCCUUCCCCUUCAUAUACAUUUAUAGAUAUAGAUAAUGUCCAAUGU